CACACUGUCCCCGCGGUGUCCCCGCGGUGUCCCCGCGCCCUCAGGGACGCUGCGGGCGGGCCCGGCCAUGGCGGCGCCGCGCUGAGGGCGGGGCGGGGCGCGCAUGCGCAGCCGGGCCCGCGCUGCGUCUCCGGCGCCGCCGGGAGGGAGCGGAGCGGCCGCAGCCGCGGCCCCGCUGCGGGGAUGGGGCAGCGCUCGGUGCCGCUGCCGCCGCUGCUGCUGCCCGUGCUGGUGCUGUGGCAGCUCGCCGGAGCCCAGGAUGAGGGUGCGUGUGCCCCGCCGGAGCGGCUGCAGUACGCGGAGCUCAACGAGCCCUUCAGGGAAAUGCAGAAUUUCCCAGUCGGGACCCAAAUCUCCUUCAGCUGCCGGCCGGGAUACAUGAGAGCCCCGGGGAUGUCACUGACCCGCACCUGCGGUGCUGACUUGCAGUGGUCACCCACCACCGUGUUCUGUACAGAGAGAAAAUGUACGUACCCCGGAGACUUGGAAAAUGGUUAUUUUGAUCCUGGAGAUCUUACAUUUGGUUCAAAACUGACAUUUUCUUGUAAUGAAGGAUACAGAUUACGAGGUAAUCAAGAAAUUACCUGUGUUAUCAAGAAUGAAGGCGUUGGCUGGAGUGGAACUCUGCCUUACUGUGAAAAAAUCCCCUGUGCGCCCCCUCCCCAGAUUGCCAACGGGGUCUACGAGGAGAGGGCCAGCUACGUGUACCAGAGCUCUGUGACCUACCGGUGUCAGGAUGUCCCCAGGGGCAGUGAUCCCUUCUCCCUCAUCGGCCCUGACACCAUUUUCUGCACUUCUGAUGCCAACUCCAACGGGGUUUGGAGCGGGCCGCCCCCACAGUGCCGAGUGGUCAAAUGUAAAAACCCCAGCGUAAAAAAUGGGAGAAAAAUAUCUGGAUUUGGGCAUUCCUACACUUACAAGGACUCGGUUGUGUUUGAGUGUGACCAAGGCUAUUUCAUGGUUGGAGCAGAGAUAAUUACCUGUGAAGAAAAUAACACCUGGGUUCCUCCAGAACCAACUUGUGAGAAAAUCACUGCAGAUGUGUGUCCUGCCCCGAAGAUCCCCAACGGGGUCCUGAUCCCAGCCAAGGCUGCCUAUGGGAAAGGGGAGUCUGUGCAGAUCAGGUGCAGCCCUGGCUGCUCCUUCCCCGAUGGCUCUGCAGAGGUGACAGUGACCUGCCAGGAGCAGAGCUCCUGGGGUGCUUUACAGCCCUGUGCCUGUGAGUCUGAAGGUUCUGGUUCCACACCAGUCAUAAGCUACGGGAGAGUGACAGCUGGACAAAAACCUUCCUACUCCGUGGGGGAUUUCAUCAGCAUCGAGUGUUACACGGGGUACAGCCUGCACGGGGAGCCCCGCAUUCAGUACGUGGGCAACAACCAGUGGGAGCCUGCAGUGCCCAGCUGCCAGCUCAGUGGAUAUAUUAUUGCCAUCAUCUGUGUGAUUGUGGUAGUUGUGGUGCUCCUGGCAGCCUUCUGGAUCUACAAGAAAUUCUUCUCACAAAAUGGCUCAUACACAGUUGAUGAGAGUUGCAAGGAAACUUGUGUUUUAAAAGCUAAUGUGCCAGCUGAGAUGGAAGAAACUGCACAAAUGAAUUAAUGAAAAGAAGAGGAUAAAUAAGGGUCUAACAAGAUCUUUUGAAACCUUCUUAUGAAAAGGAAACGUGACAGCACUCCCAGUUCUGCCGAAUAUAAGAUGUGUAAAGCAUGACUGACCUUUCUGGGGGUGGGAGGGACUUUGCAGUGGAAUUUCCCUGCCAGAGCUGGAAAAUGAUUGAUUCCCCUCUCAGUGAGCUGCUGUCCAUGCGUCCCUUGCGCUGUGUCUUGCUCUGCUGAUGAACUGGAGGAGGAGAUGCUUGCUAGGAUAAAAAGUGUGUGUGAUACAGAUAACACAGACAGAUCCUGCUCUGCCUCCUGGGCCCCUCCUUGUCCUCCCGUGCACGUGAGCUGGGGGAAGGCAGUACCUGCAGCAUGCCAGAGUCUGUGGGAGUGCUGGAAUGUCACUGUCCCUGUGCCAGCUGCUGCCUGCUCCCUUCAGUGCCACCUCUGUGCUUACAGAACACUUCCAAUGUUCUCCUCCCUCCUGCAGAGCUGUGCUCACUCAAACCUUCUUGUCCUUCCCGUCCCUCUUUGCAGCUGAGGUGGUGUAAAUGGUUCUGUUGAAGGCCACAUCUUUUGAAAACUAUCACGAUUAAGGUCUUAUAUACUCUACCUCUUUGGUUGCUGUGUAUAUAAUGAAUUAAAGUGUGCCUUGAAAUCAGAGUUUUAUGGCUUUUCCUUUGCUUUUAAGAAGGAAAAAAGCCAUAUCUAUUUCUGAUUCUUUGCUGUAAUCCCCCAAAGACUGCAGUGGAUUUGUUAGAACUGAAGGAUUCUGUAGCAAGGGCAUCCCCUGCCUGUUGAUGGGAGGUCCCUGAUUAAAGGAGCUGCUGAGAGCUCAGUGGUGGCCGUGUCCUGCCAUGGAAGGUCCUUAGGGUGUUUGAUUUUAGUUGAUGUCAGUUCUGGAGAUCUUCUGUUGCUUUCAAGGACAGGAACGGGUGCUGUGUGAUCCACCUUCCUUGCUUCUUUACUUGAAGUCACGUAUUCCACGUUCUAACCUCUGGCUGCAGGCUGGGAUGUUAAAUGUAGCUCUGAAAAGCUGGAUUUAGCAUCAGAUUCCUGUUCAGAAGCAGAAGCUUUUCCCUGUCACUCACUGCUCAUGUUAAAGGCAAACCAAACCCGUUCAGCUGUGUCAGUGCUGGUAGAUGUGGUGGUCUCACGUUUGCUGCUUGUUCCUCAAAUGUUUCACUCCAGAUUCUGACUCCAGGAGCUCCCACCACGGUGUUUGCCACUAGUUGAGACUCGCUGCUACUUCUAAUUCCUCAGCAAACCCCAAAUCUUAACUAGAACAGGUUUCAGCUUCAUGAAUCUCACUGUCAGCAUACAGGCAUAUUCUGAUUUUCACAGAAAACCCAAAUAGCCUCGCUUCAGAUGCCUGAGGCAGCAUUGAAACUGCUCUGGCUUGUCUGUGGCUGCUUGGCACUGCUCUCCCUGUCAUCAACAGAUUGUUGGAGUGGCACAGAACUGUUUGGGGCUUUAUAGGGCUUUUUGGGACAAUCCCAGCAGUCGUAUUGUUAGAGUUCAUAAUAGGCUGUGGAUGUUAGAAAGGGACUUUGGCUCUGCAGAAGCAUUUGCUGCUCGUGGCCUGGCUGAUAUCUCAGUUUGAGAGUUGUUUGUAAACACUGGGGUGUGUGACUGGGGCUGAGUGUGGUGGUGCUGGUCAGGAGCUCAGCUUGCUUUGUGUGGCAUCUGCAAUGUGCUGAAAUACUCUGGAAUGUUCUUAACUGGGAAGUGAAAUCACUGUAAAAAGUGGCCGUAUUUUAACUCUUCUUUCUGGAUGUAAAGAUUAGCGAUCAUUUGUAAUAUUCCAAAUAAAAAUGUUAAAUUAUUUAGCAGUAA